ACAGCAGAAUUGUCAAGAAAUUUUUUGAAACAAAUGUUAAUGGGGUGUGGAAGGGACAGAGAAUGUCUUAUUUAUUUUUUUCCUGUAAAGCUAGGAUAACUAAAACAUUAUGGUUCUGUUACAAGAAUAAACAGCUCCAUGAGACAGACAUGAAAACCUAGGAGCAAAUCUAAGUAUGGGUAAAUAUUUAAUACAUAAUGAAGUUGAGAUUUAAAUUAGGGAAGUACAGAGGCUAGGAUAAUGGGCUAUUCAGAAGAAAAAUUAAUUCCAGACAGUUCAAGUCAUUAAACAUGAAAUAUGAAACUAUAAAAGAAUGAGGAAAAAAUAAUAUAAAAUAUUUAUAUGAUAUUGGGGAGAGAAAGGCCUUGUUAUGAUUUAAAGCAAAGAAUAAAGCCAAAAGCAAGAAAUGGACGUCUGUUAAGAGAGAAAACUCUGAAAGUUCUGAAGGCCCAUUUACAAGUGUAAAAUUAUUAAAUAAACAAGAUAAAAAUCAAGCAACAAAGUAGGGGAUAAUAUUUACAACAAAUGACAAAAGAUUAAUACUCGAUGUAUAAAGAGUCAUUAUAAAUCAAUAUGAAUAAAGUACUACUGCCCUGAAAAAUGAGUAAAGGUCACAAACAAUUAAAAAAAAAAAAAAAACCAAACCAUGACUGGGGCUCCUGGGUGGCUCAGUCAGUUAAACGUCCAACUUACGCCCAGGUUAUGAUCUCAUGGUUCAUGAGUUUGAGGCCUACGUCCAGCUCUGUGAUGACAGCUCAGAGCCUGAAGCCUGCCUCAGAUCCUGUGUCUCCCUCGCCCUCUGCUCCUCUCCCGCUCAUACUCUGUCUCUCUCUCAAAAAUAAAUAAACAUUUGAAAAAAUCAUAAUAAAAAAAUAAAUUAAAAACAUGACUGAAACAAUGCUCCUGCUCACUGGCAACAAAGAUCGCAAAGUCGAAACUAGGUACAUUUUGAUGCAUAAUAAAUACCAAAAGCCUUAACCCAGAAAUUCCACCAGGAAUUUACUGAAGGAAAUGCAGCAUUAUUUGUCUUAGCAAUAGUUUGGAAACCAUAUAAGUAAGUUUAAAAGGAGGGCAUGAGAUUUUUUUUUAACUGAUUGUCUUUCAUGUAGAAAAUAAACCAUUAAAAAUAAUGUAAAAAAUAGCAAGUGCUAUGGAAAGAUACACACACUUAUAUAUAGUAGGGUCCCAGGAGGAACUUGAAGGCACACUCAAAUUAUUUGGGAUGAAUCAAGGGGGGAUUAAUAAAGGGGCUACUUACAAAGGUGAGGGCAGGAUACCAGGGAAUCCUAAGGGGUGGGUGGUGAAGUACAGGGCCUAGGAACAGCAAACUAGACCUCAAGGACUUUGGAGAGGGGAGGGUGAGGACUAGAGCAAGCUCAGGGAGGUGCUUAGGAUGCAGGAUUCGAGGACACAUUCCCCCUCAGGGUCGUGCAAGAGACAGUGAGUGCCUCCUCACAUGUUUGUGCCAGAGGCACCGGCCUCACCCUAUCCUAGUCCUGGCUCUGGGGGAGGAAGCUAUUAAAGGAAUCCAGAAGGAAGAUCCUGUAGAAAAGUCUGCAAGGAGAGGAGCUGUGACCUUUAACAGGGGGCUGGAGGCAGCCCAAGGUGACCCACAGAGAGGCUGCCUGAGAAAAAUACCUGCUCUCACUUUGCUCCCAUCGUCUCAUCUUCCUGCAAGGCUUCCUUCCUCUCACCAGACCCACCUGGAAGCCAGAGGGCAAGGCUGCUUUAUAGUCGGCCGCCUCCGGGACAGACCACAGGACAGAGAAACAGUGGAUCCAAGGGGGCACAGAGACUUCCAUAGAACAACAUAAAGUUAAGCAACACACAGGCAAGUUCCAAAGCACUAUCUAAAAUCUGAUGCCCAUUUUUACGUAAAUUUUAUUUAGUGGGAUACCUGGGGUGUAAGAUUACAUUAUGGCUGAUUUUUAGAUAGUUUUUGCUUUUAUAUGUAUUUGAUAUAUUUAAUGGAAUGAAUGUCAUAAAAAGAAAAAAAGGGAAACAUUCCAAAAACCGUAUAUAGGUUAUGGCCUUAAGAUGAAGUAAAAAGCCUCGAUGAAAAAAGUCAAAAUAUUUACAAGGGUUGCUUUUGGAUUCUGAGUGUGUAAAGAGAGGCAUGGCUAUUUCUGGGGGGCAAGCAUGCGAGUUUUGUUUUUGUGUGUGCAUCCUAAUCCUUUUCUUUCUUUGAAAAUGUCCUGAAGUGAAUGUCUUGCUGUCAUAAAUCCAGAAGCUACACUCAAUAAGUAGAUCGGAGAGAGAGAAUAGAUGGGUAGAAGAUGCCAGAGGAGAGAGAAAAGAAUCUCCAUAAAUAGCCACCUGUCCUUCAUGUGAGCUGACAUCUCAAGCUCACUUGUAUUUAUCUAAUGUGUAAAAUGAUAUGAUUUCUCAAGCCCCUUUUGCUCUAAAAUUCCUUUUAAGGAAGAAACACAACCCUUUUCUAACAGACCUCAUAACCUGCGGUCAUGAGACAAGGCGGAGCAACCCGCGGCUUGGGAAAGUAGAGUACAGACACGGAGGAGCUGGGAGCGCCACCUCCCUGCAGGCACGGGCAUUACAGCUGACGGCUAAGGGUCCUGUUCCUGCUCCAGGGCACGCUGUUCUCGGUGUGCCUUCUUCCUGAGGCCGUACGCUGACCGCCGCUUCGUUCCCUGACCACUUAGAAUUCCUGCUGACUGUCUUCUACAGUCUCCUGUCUUAUAAAACUACAACGCUUGCCGACAGAACUCCAGCGGAAUCCACCUUCUUGCCUUAUCUUUCCGUAAAGGUUGUUGAGAUAUGCCUCCUGGCCCACCACUUGGGACAGAUGAAACCCACCCAUGCACCAGCUUUGCCUGGCGAGUCACUUCCUCACUCUGGGGCCUCCAGCCAGCUCUGAUGGGAGUCAUGUGAUCACUUUGGUGUGCAUGACAGCUCCCCAGAGUGAUGCUUUGAGGGGUGACCUUGCUGCCCAGGACAGAACCAGCUCCUUGCGAGCUUGCUGAUAAGCAGAGGCCCAGUUCCAUGGUCUAAAGCUCUGACCACGCUGCGGAUCCCCAAACCUGCCUGUCUGGCACCUCCUCUCUCCUGAGGGUCCGGCCCAUAUCUGCAAACAGUUGUCCCACUGAUGCAUCACAUUCAGAAAUGCAAAGCAGAACUGCCCCCCUCCUCCACACUCACGUCAGCCCCCACCCCAGGGAGCUGCUGUCCGCCUGGUCUCCCACGUGCCCCACACGUGUCUGCCUUUGACAGGCAGAAUGGACACCAACGGGACUUCCCUAGCCAGCUGGCGAGAUGCUGGUGUUGCAUCCCCUCAGGACUGCCGGGAAAGAAUCCUGGCUUUGUACUGUGCAGCUGGGCCUGUGCCCACACCCCUUGCAAUCCAGUCAGCCAAUGGCUCCCCUCAGGAUGCCGAGUGGUCGUGCACGCCCGCCUGAGUGAUCAGAAAUGUUCCAGUGAAGAAAUAAAGGCUCCUUUUGCACCGACAACAUGCUACUCAAAGGCAGAAAAAUGACUUUUACCCCAUAAUUCCGGCACUCAAGAAACACUUGUUGAAAGAACAAAUUUGCAAAGAAAGAAGCUCCUUGACAGUUAUGCGUUAACUCCAGAAGAACUGGUUAAUUCCAUCAUGGUGUAUCCAUUGGUGAUAAUAUUAGGCAACUGUUAAAAAGGUAUGGAUUAAAAAAAAAAAAGCUGUAAAAUAUAUUUGGAGACAAUUCAGGAACUGUGAGUACCAACUGGGUAGUACAUGAUAUGAGAGAAUUUUUGUUAAUUUACUUCAAGGUGAUGAUGGUUUUGUGGUUAUUUAUGUAGCAGAAUGCAUGUUAAAGUAUUUCAGAGUAAGUGUCAUAAUGUCUAUGUAGGGGCCAAGGACAGCUACCCUAAGAUGGGCCACUUUAGCAUGAAGAUGAUUUUGAGUUAAAAGCAAUCAAAACCAGGGGCGCCUGGGUGGCUCAGUCAGUUAGGCAUCCAACUUUGGCUCAGGUCAUGAUCUCACAGUUUGUGAGUUCGAGCCCCGCGUCGGGCUCUGUGCUGACAGCUCAGAGCCUGGAGCCUGCUUCAGAUUCUGGGUCUCUCCAUCUCUCGGCCUCUCCCCUGCUCAUGCUCUGUGUCUCUCUGUC